GAUGAACGCUGGCGGCGUGCCUAAUACAUGCAAGUCGAGCGAACGGACGAGAAGCUUGCUUUUCUGAUGUUAGCGGCGGACGGGUGAGUAACACGUGGAUAACCUACCUAUAAGACUGGGAUAACUUCGGGAAACCGGAGCUAAUACCGGAUAAUAUUUGAACCGCAUGGUUCAAAAGUGAAAGACGGUCUUGCUGUCACUUAUAGAUGGAUCCGCGCUGCAUUAGCUAGUUGGUAAGGUAACGGCUUACCAAGGCAACGAUGCAUAGCCGACCUGAGAGGGUGAGCGGCCACACUGGAACUGAGACACGGUCCAGACUCCUACGGGAGGCAGCAGUAGGGAAUCUUCCGCAAUGGGCGAAAGCCUGACGGAGCAACGCCGCGUGAGUGAUGAAGGUCUUCGGAUCGUAAAACUCUGUUAUUAGGGAAGAACAUAUGUGUAAGUAACUGUGCACAUCUUGACGGUACCUAAUCAGAAAGCCACGGCUAACUACGUG
rnacentral:rRNA from 1 species